rnacentral:rRNA from 1 species
ANNNNNNAAAGUANGCUAGUACACGUGGACACCUACCCUAAGGAGGGGGAUAACCCCGGGAAACUGGGGAUAAUACCCCAUAGACUAGAGAAGCUGGAAUGCUCUCAAGUCCAAAGGUCCGCCGCCUUAGGAUGGGUCUGCGGUCGAUUAGGUUGUUGUUGGGGUAACGGCCCAACAAGCCCGUGAUCGAUACGGGUUGUGAGAGCAAGAGCCCGGAGAUGGAUUCUGAGACACGAAUCCAGGCCCUACGGGGCGCAGCAGGCGCGAAAACUUUACAAUGCGGGAAACCGUGAUAAGGGAACCCCGAGUGCCCGUAAAUUCGGGCUGUCCAUCAGCGUAAAUAACUGGUGAAGAAAGGGCCGGGCAAGACCGGUGCCAGCCGCCGCGGUAAUACCGGCGGCUCGAGUGGUGGCCACUAUUAUUGGGCUUAAAGCGUCCGUAGCUUGGUUGUUAAGUCUCUUGGGAAAUCUACCGGCUCAACCGGUAGGCGUUCAGGAGAUACUGGCAAUCUAGGGACCGGGAGAGGUGAGAGGUACUCCAGGGGUAGGAGUGAAAUCCUGUAAUCCUUGGGGGACCACCUGUGGCGAAGGCGUCUCACUAGAACGGCUCCGACAGUGAGGGACGAAAGCUGGGGGAGCAAACCGGAUUAGAUACCCGGGUAGUCCCAGCUGUAAACGAUGCGCGUUAGGUGUAUCGGUGACCACGAGUCACCGAGGUGCCGAAGGGAAACCGUGAAACGUGCCGCCUGGGAAGUACGGGUCGCAAGGCUGAAACUUAAAGGAUUGGCGGGGGAGCACCACACCAGGUGGAGCCUGCGGUUUAAUCGGACUCAACGCCGGAAAGCUCACCGGAUAAGACAGCGGAAUGAUAGCNCGGGCUGAAACUCUGCUUGACUAGCUGAGAGGAAGGUGGCAUGGCCGUCGUCAGUUCCGAACUUGUGAACCAUCCCUGUUUU